GAUUAACGCUGACGGUAUGCCUUAUACAUGCAAGUCGAACGGAAAGGCCUCUUCGGAGGUACUCGAGUGGCGGACGGGUGAGUAACACGUAGGAAUCUGCCCUUCAGUGGGGGACAACCUGGAGAAAUUCAGGCUAAUACCCCAUACGUCGAAAGAUGAAAGAAGUAAUUCGCUGAUGGAGGAGCCUGCGCUUGAUUAGCUUGUUGGUGAGGUAAAAGCUCACCAAGGCGACGAUCAAUAGCUGGUUUGAGAGGAUGAUCAGCCACAAUGGGACUGAGAUACGGCCCAU
rnacentral:rRNA from 1 species